rnacentral:rRNA from 1 species
UACGGAGGGUGCGAGCGUUGUCCGGAAUCACUGGGCGUAAAGGGCGCGUAGGCGGCCUGAUAAGUAGGGGGUGAAAUCCUGCGGCUUAACCGCAGGGCUGCCUUCUAAACUGUCAGGCUAGAGCACGGUAGAGGCAGAUGGAAUUCCCGGUGUAGCGGUGGAAUGCGUAGAGAUCGGGAAGAACAUCAGUGGCGAAGGCGGUCUGCUGGGCCGUUGCUGACGCUGAGGCGCGGCAGCGUGGGGAGCAAACAGG